rnacentral:rRNA from 1 species
GACGAACGCUGGCGGCGUGCUUAACACAUGCAAGUCGAACGGAAAGGCCCUGCUUUUGUGGGGUGCUCGAGUGGCGAACGGGUGAGUAACACGUGAGUAACCUGCCCUUGACUUUGGGAUAACUUCAGGAAACUGGGGCUGAUACCGGAUAGGAGCUCCUGCUGCAUGGUGGGGGUUGGAAAGUUUCGGCGGUUGGGGAUGGACUCGCGGCUUAUCAGCUUGUUGGUGGGGUAGUGGCUUACCAAGGCUUUGACGGGUAGCCGGCCUGAGAGGGUGACCGGCCACAUUGGGACUGAGAUACGGCCCAGACUCCUACGGGAGGCAGCAGUGGGGAAUAAUGCACAAUGGGCGGAAGCCUGAUGCAGCAACGCCGCGUGCGGGAUGACGGCCUUCGGGUUGUAAACCGCUUUCGCCUGUGACGAAGCGUGAGUGACGGUAAUGGGUAAAGAAGCACCGGCUAACUACGUG